rnacentral:rRNA from 1 species
AAGGAAUAUUGGUCAAUGGAGGGAACUCUGAACCAGCCAUGCCGCGUGCAGGAUGACUUCCCUAUGUGUUGUAAACUGCUUUUGUCGGGGAAUAAACCUACGUUUGCGAACGUAUAUGAAUGUACCCGAAGCAUAAGUAUCGGCUAACUCCGUGCCAGCAGCCGCGGUAAUACGGAGGAUCCAAGCGUUAUCCGGAUUUAUUGGGUUUAAAGGGUGCGUAGGCGGUUCUUUAAGUCAGAGGUGAAAGACGGCAGCUUAACUGUCGCAGUGCCUUUGAUACUGAAGAACUUGAGUGCAGUAAAGGUGGGCGGAAUUCGUGGUGUAGCGGUGAAAUGCUUAGAUAUCACGAAGAACUCCAAUUGCGAAGGCAGCUCACUGGAGUGUAACUGACGCUGAUGCUCGAAAGUGUGGGUAUCAAACA